UCUAUUUGUAGGAAAAAUAGUAGUACCUGCUCAAUGAUAAAUGGCUAUAGUAUUCUGACUAUACAAAGGUAGCAUAAUCACUUGUUUUUUAAUUGGGGACUAGAAUGAAAGGCUAAACUAAAGGAGAGGUUUUAUAUAUUGAAUUUUAGUUAAGAUUAAGAACGGUCUUAUUAAAUCCUGGGACGAGAAGACCCUAGAAGCUUUAGAGAUCUUUCGGUUGGGGCGACUAAGGAAUAUAAGAACUUUUUCAUAAGUUACUCUAGGGAUAACAGCGUAAUUAAAUUGAAGAGUUCUAAUUGAAUAUUUGGUUUGCGACCUCGAUGUUGAAUUAAGAGGUGUAGGAGCCUUAGUCUGUUCGACUAUUAAAAUCUUACA
rnacentral:rRNA from 1 species